rnacentral:rRNA from 1 species
AGUGAACGCUGGCGGCGUGCCUAAUACAUGCAAGUCGAACGGAAUUUAAAAGAGCUUGCUCUUUUGAAUUUAGUGGCGCGCGGGUGAGUAAUAUAUAGCUAAUCUGCCCCUUGCUGGAGGACAACAGUUAGAAAUGACUGCUAAUACUCCAUACUCCUUUUUACCAUAAGAUAAAUCGGGAAAGAAUUUCGGCAAGGGAUGAGACUAUAUCGUAUCAGCUAGUCGGUGGGGUAACGGCCUACCGAGGCUAUGACGCGUAACUGGUCUGAGAGGAUGAUCAGUCACAUUGGAACUGAGACACGGUCCAAACUCCUACGGGAGGCAGCAGUAGGGAAUAUUGCGCAAUGGGGGAAACCCUGACGCAGCAACGCCGCGUGGAGGAUGACACUUUUCGGAGCGUAAACUCCUUUUGUUAGGGAAGAAUAAUGACGGUACCUAACGAAUAAGCACCGGUAA